rnacentral:rRNA from 1 species
CUUCCUACGGGGGGCAGCAGUGAGGAAUAUUGGUCAAUGGCCGUAAGGCUGAACCAGCCAAGUAGCGUGAGGGAAGACUGCCCUAUGGGUUGUAAACCUCUUUUAUGCGGGGAUAAAGGUGUCCACGUGUGGAUGUUUGCAGGUACCGCAUGAAUAAGGACCGGCUAAUUCCGUGCCAGCAGCCGCGGUAAUACGGAAGGUCCGGGCGUUAUCCGGAUUUAUUGGGUUUAAAGGGUGCGUAGGCGGGCAUUUAAGCCGGCGGUCAAAUGUCGGGGCUCAACCCCGGCCUGCCGUCGGAACUGGGG